rnacentral:piRNA from 1 species
UUUUAAUAGCAGCCUCAGGAAUUUCUUCCU